rnacentral:misc_RNA from 1 species
UUCCUGUCUCUCUCUGGCUCCUUAAGUGCCUUGAUGACCAGAGCAGCCGCAGAUGGAACAACCGUCACCUUAGCCUGACGGUUCUGAACCGUAAGCUUGACAGUGACGCGAAGACCCUUCCAGUCCUUGGCGGUCUCCUUAGCGAUGUCUUCACCGAUCUUUUUAGGGGAGAGACCAAGCGGACCAAUUUUCGGUGCGAGUGAACUAGCCGCGCCGACUUCUCCACCGGUGACUCGGACGAAGACAUCGACCACCUGGGAAGGGUCAAAUUUGGGCGGCAUUUCUAGUGCUCACAGAAUGAGACAACCCUAGGGUUUCAAGAAACCAUUAAAGGAUGAUAUGGAGUAAUAUAUUACAAUCCCAGUGCUGA